UUCUGGCAGAUUCUCCUCUUACUUGGCUUGUGAAUAAGUUCUGUUAAGACUCAUUUGCAGUGAACUGAGAUGGAGUCUGCUGGAAGGAAAUGCGUCAGUUUAUGCAAUAGCUCUGGCAUGUCAGAAGUACGGUGGCAAAAGAUUAUAGAGUUGGUCAGUUGUUGAAGAAAAUGACAGGUUCAGAUGAGCCAACCGUCAGCUCAGAACACAGUGUGAAAGCCAGAAGGCUUCGAAGGCAGCCUUUUUAAAACCCUCAUCUACUGCAGCUGGAGGGCCAAUCAUGAACAAAACCUGGUGUUGGACUGGAUCGUCAGGGUGUUGUGAGAGCUGGAUUAUUAGCAUACUAUUGUGAGACAGGGACCAUGCGAACAAGUUCAAAGUGAAAAACAUUGUGCAGCCAGGCUGCCUUCUAUUGGCUGUUACUGUUAGACGACUCGUACAGAAAACCAGAAUGUGGUCAGGGGAUGGACUGAUACACUGCCCGGCUUAAUAUAGAAGACCACGGCUCCAAAAAGCACCAAUGAGCUGCCUGAGUUACCUGUGCCACUAUUGACCAAUCAGGAUUAGGCUCUUCCAACCAAUCAGUAUUAGGCUUUUCCAACCAAUCAGGAUGAAGCACUUUUUUUUCUUUUUGUAUUAGCAUAUCGGACCUGAGUGGGAACAAGAGAAGGUACUUCCCUAUAUAAGUCUUCAAGCUGGGACAUCAGUCUUCUGCCUUCAGACUCAACUUGAACUAGAACUAUACCCUUGGCUCUCCUGGGUCGCCUGCUUGCCAACUGCAGACCUUGGGAUUUCUCAGCUUCCAUACUCCUGUGGGC